rnacentral:rRNA from 1 species
AGACUCCUACGGGAGGCANCAGUAGGGAAUCUUGCNCAAUGGGCGAAAGCCUGACGCAGCAAUGCCGCGUGCGGGACGAAGGCCCUAGGGUCGUAAACCGCUUUCAGUAGGGACGAAAAUGACGGUACCUGCAGAAGAAGCUCCGGCCAACUACGUGCCAGCAGCCGCGGUGAUACGUAGGGAGCAAGCGUUGUCCGGAAUUACUGGGCGUAAAGGGCUCGUAGGUGGUUGAGUAAGUCAGAUGUGAAAUCUCAGGGCCCAACCCUGAGCCUGCAUUUGAUACUGCUCUGACUAGAGUCCGGUAGGGGAGUGCGGAACUCCUGGUGUAGCGGUGAAAUGCGCAGAUAUCAGGAAGAACACCGACAGCGAAGGCAGCACUCUGGGCCGGUACUGACACUGAGGAGCGAAAGCAUGGGUAGCAAACAGGAUUAGAUACCCUGGUAGUCCAUGCCGUAAACGUUGGGCACUAGGUGUGGGGAGAACUCAACUCUCUCCGCGCCGUAGCUAACGCAUUAAGUGCCCCGCCUGGGGAGUACGGCCGCAAGGCUAAAACUCAAAGGAAUUGACGG